UAUCAGCCAAGGUUAUUUAUCAGCCAAGGUUACUUAUCAGCCAAGGUUACUUAUCAGCCAAGGUUACUUAUCAGCCAAGGUUAUUUAUCAGCCAAGGUUAUUUAUCAGCCAAGGUUAUUUAUCAGCCAAGGUUAUUUAUCAGCCAAGGUUACUUAUCAGCCAAGGUUACUUAUCAGCCAAGGUUACUUAUCAGCCAAGGUUAUUUAUCAGCCAAGGUUAUUUAUCAGCCAAGGUUACUU